ACCUGUUGCGGGUGGACCAGUGGGCGCCCGCAGCACCAGACAGAACACCGUGCCACGGAAACAACGGGGCACUUCAGGGCGUU
rnacentral:sRNA from 24 species